GACGAACGCUGGCGGCGUGCCUAACACAUGCAAGUCGAACGGAGUUAUUAAGGCCUUGUGCUUUAAUAACUUAGUGGCGGACGGGUGAGUAACACGUGAGUAACCUGCCUUAGGGUUUGGAAUACCAUACCGAAAGGUAUGCUAAUACCAAAUGAUAAAAGUUUUUCGCAUGGAGAGCUUUUCAACGAUUUAUCGCCCUACGAUGGACUCGCGGCCGAUUAGCUAGUUGGUGAGGUAAUGGCUCACCAAGGCGACGAUCGGUAGCCGGACUGUGCGGGCAAUCGGCCACAUUGGGACUGAGACACGGCCCAGACUCCUACGGGAGGCAGCAGUGGGGAAUAUUGCACAAUGGGGGAAACCCUGAUGCAGCGACGCCGCGUGAAGGAUGAAGGUUUUCGGAUCGUAAACUUCUGUCUUCGAGGAAGAAAUUUGACGGUACUCGAGGAGGAAGCCACGGCUAACUACGUGCCAGCAGCCGCGGUAAAAC
rnacentral:rRNA from 1 species